GGGACUUUAGUAUCAAGGUUAAUACGUAUGACUUUUAAUCAUUAUAAUAUUGGUUCGAAUCCAUUAGGUCCUA